AGUCCAGUAGCGCCUUAGAGACCAACUAAGUUUGUUCUAGGUAUAAGCUUUCGUGUGCAUACCUAGAAUGAACUUAGUUGGUCUCUAAGGUGCUACUGGACU